rnacentral:rRNA from 1 species
AUACGUAGGGGGCGAGCGUUGUCCGGAAUGAUUGGGCGUAAAGGGCGCGUAGGCGGCCCGGUAAGUCUGGAGUGAAAGUCCCGUUUUUAAGAUGGGAAUUGCUUUGGAUACUGUCGGGCUUGAGUGCAGGAGAGGUAAGUGGAAUUCCCAGUGUAGCGGUGAAAUGCGUAGAGAUUGGGAGGAACACCAGUGGCGAAGGCGACUUACUGGACUGUAACUGACGCUGAGGCGCGAAAGUGUGGGGAGCAAACAGGAUUAGAUACCCUGGUAGUCCACACUGUAAACGAUGAAUGCUAGGUGUAGGGGGUAUCGACCCCUUCUGUGCCGCAGUCAACACAAUAAGCAUUCCGCCUGGGAAGUACGGCCGCAAGGUUGAAACUCAAAUGAAUUGACGGGG